GUAGUCGUGGCCGAGAGGUUAAGGUGAUGGACUCCGAAUCCAUUGGGGUCUCCCUGCACAGGUUCGAAUCCUGCCGACUGCG